GAAAAAAAAAAGGACCAUGGGAAAUAUCCAGGGUUAAAAAAUAAAGCUAAAAUAUGAAUGCUUUAAAAUUUGUGUAGAUCAUUGUACCCUUUUAUUCCCACCCUUGAUUUUGGCAUAGUUAAAGAACUGAAUUGCUUGCUAGUUAAGGUACAUGCUUUUUGGUCACCGUUUACAUGAUUUGCUUCUUGAACCAAUUCUCAAAUCUAAUUCUCAUAAUUUCCAACUCUGAUUUCUAGGUUAGGGAUUGUAAUUUUGGAUAGAUAACUAGAAAAAAAAUUCAAUCACUUUAGCUAAAAUUCAAAUAUUUUGUAAUAUUAAAUGUUGAUCUUUUCAUAAAUGGUACUAUUGUUGUUGUUCUGAUACCAAUUUUUUUUUUUUUUUUAAUCUAUUUUUACUUUUUAUUUUUGUCUUCAACAUAUUUGAUAAAAUGUCUCAACAAAUUUAUGUUUUUAUAUGUUUCAAUUUAUAAGUGAUUGACUAACUGUAUUUUUUUAUAAUAUAUAAUAGAUUCUUGAUUGACAAAGCAUAAUUAGUCUAAAAUUGGAACGAUUAUAUGGCAAAAUCUUCUUACUUUAAGUUAUGUGCACUAGUGAGUCUUGGUGGUGGCUCCUAGAAAGCUUGAGUGAUAGUUUAUUUAUAUCAAUAUUAUUAAAUUUAUAUUGCUUAAAUAUUUUUCUUAAAUUGGUUGUGUAGACCUAGGGUGCAGUAUGUACAUUUUUUGUUAAAUCUUUCCUCAUUAUCUAAAAUUAAUCAAAAAUAUGAUUGAUUAAAAAAAAUGUUGAUUAUUGUUUGACAAAAUUGCAAUUUAUAAAUUUUUAUUAACUACAAUAAUUAUAUAACCAUUUAAAUUUUGGUCCCUCUAUAUUUAAUCCUGUAGCCUGCCUCUAGAAUAACCAUAUUUUUAUCAAAGUAUAAAAUACUUUAGUCUCUCAAAAUCUUUUGUCUCUAAGGUAAAACACUUUAGUCCCUCAAAUCCUUUCAUCCCUAAUGUUUCAAAAUUAGUUCCUUUGGUCCCUAAAAUUUGUUAAAAGCUCUAGACUUUACUCUUGAUGUAUAAUACUGAACUUUUUUUUCAUUACAAUUUAGUUACUAAAAUUUAAUUGUACCUAAUCUCUAAAUUUUUAAACUAUAAAACAUUUCUCUCAAAAUCUUAUAUUUUUCUCUUAUUUUAGUACAAAAGAUUAAGCCAAGUCUCAUAGGGGUUUUUAAUAUUUUCCUUCCAGUUAUUAAAGUUACACUUCAAGACAAUAUUUCCUUCUAGUUAUUAAACUUUAAGACAAUAUUUUCCUUCCAGUUACACUUCACAAGAGCACCCACAUACCUGGCUCUU
rnacentral:misc_RNA from 1 species